rnacentral:rRNA from 1 species
UACGGGGGGGGGCAAGCGUUGUUCGGAAUUACUGGGCGUAAAGGCUCGUAGGCGGCCAACUAAGUCGGACGUGAAAUCCCUCGGCUUAACCGGGGAACUGCGUCCGAUACUGGAUGGCUUGAAUCCGGGAGAGGGAUGCGGAAUUCCAGGUGUAGCGGUGAAAUGCGUAGAUAUCUGGAGGAACACCGGUGGCGAAGGCGGCAUCCUGGACCGGCAUUGACGCUGAUGAGCGAAAGCCAGGGGAGCAAACGGG